AUUGAACGCUGGCGGCAGGCCUAACACAUGCAAGUCGAGCGGAGCGGCGGACGGGUGAGUAAUGCCUAGGUAUCUGCCUGCCAGUGGGGGAUGCCGUCCGGAAACGGGCGCUAACUACGCAUACUAUCAGUUAAGCCUAGGUCGGAUUCGCUAGCUGGUGGGGUAAUGGCCUACCCAGGCGACGAUCCGUCACUGGUCUGAGAGGAUGAUCAGUCACACUGGAACUGAGACACGGUCCAGACUCCUACGGGAGGCAGCAGUGGGGAAUAUUGGACAAUGGGCGAAAGCCUGAUGCAGCCAUGCCGCGUGUGUGAAGAAGGUCUUCGGAUUGUAAAGCACUUUAAGUGGGGAGGCGGUACCAACAGAAGAAGCACCGGCUAACUACGUGCCAGCAGCCGCGGUAAUAC
rnacentral:rRNA from 1 species